AAUUGAAUUAAGAGAGCCUGUGAUCAGCUCUGCUUCUAUUUUUAAGUUCCAGAACUUCCCUCCUGCACUGAGCAGACAACCUGGGAAUCCUCUGCAGGCCAACUGUCAGCAGUCAGACAAUGGAUAUCAGAGCUUCUGAAAUGCUGUUGCUCAGUUGUGUUUGCUGACCUGUCUUCUUUUCAGACCCCACUGAAACCAUGUACACAGAGAAGAAUAAACGUAGUGGAAUAAAUACACACAUAGAAGAACAAACAAGCCCAGAGUUGCCAUCCAUGGGUGCUUCAGUAUGAUUUCCAUCUCCUCAGCCACCAGUGACUUUGUGUGACAGACGUCAGCCCAGCAGAGCUCAGUGGGGAUUACUGGGAGUGUCUGAUCGCAGCCUUCCUUCUCCAGCAGGAUUGACACUGCCUUUAGUGCUCUCCCUGACAAAUUAUCAGUCACCUCCAGAUGACGGGGAUUGACUUCCUCCUCAACCACAGCAGAGCAAUGAGGCAAAGCUUUUAUUCCUUCGUGUCACCUUUCCAUGGAUAAAUGUAGGCUUGGAGCCUUGCAUGGUCACACUUGCCAAGUGUCUUUAGUAAUGGAUAUGGAUUUUAAACUGGAAUAGUGGUGGGUGACAGCAUGGCUUGGGGGUAGAGGAGGGCUCUUGGGCUAUUUUCCCUGCUUAUUUAUUUCCAAUU